rnacentral:lncRNA from 1 species
CCUCCAUACAUAAUUUAUUCAAAUGGAUUGUUCCUGUGGAAUAAGAACAGAGUUCAGCAAAUGCAUGUGCUUCCAAAUGCAACUGAAGCCACUCAAUGCAACAUAAGCCACUCAAUGUAAAAGAAGCCACUCAUUCCCACAGCAAUGUUACAUGUAAAGGGCCACAACAGGAACUCCUGUCCUCAUUUCAACUACUUCACUCCAGCCGUUUUGUUUCCAAGUCUCUCAAAGCAAUCCAGGAAAAACUUUAAAUCAGCAUCGGUUUGAUUCUUGACUACACUUGUUUACAUUAACAAUCUUUUCCACACUAUUUCAAGGUCCACAAAUGUCGAGUCUUUAAGUAACAAUUUGCAAUCAAGUAAAAACUUCUAUUCCUCCAACACAUAAAAUAGCUGAAGUUUUUAAUGUGGCGUAACCUUUGGGUAUGGUAUGAAAAUGAUGGGUGAUGUCUGGAGUUGAGUUUCCUUUUCUUCCUUUAAGUGGAGGGCUGCCCCAAUAGCAAAGUUGGCACAAAAUAGAAGAUUCCCUGGCUCUGCUGUCCCAUUCUGUGCCAGCCCCUGACCUUCAGCCGCUGCUUUGACAAGGCUGAGUUGCC